UACGAAGGGGGCUAGCGUUGCUCGGAAUCACUGGGCGUAAAGGGCGCGUAGGCGGCCAUUCAAGUCGGAGGUGAAAGCCCAGGGCUCAACCCUGGAAUUCCCUUCGAUACUGUUUGGCUAGAGACCGGAAGAGGUAAGUGGAACUGCGAGUGUAGAGGUGAAAUUCGUAGAUAUUCGCAAGAACACCAGUGGCGAAGGCGGCUUACUGGUCCGGUUCUGACGCUGAGGCGCGAAAGCGUGGGGAGCAAACAGG
rnacentral:rRNA from 1 species